rnacentral:rRNA from 1 species
CCUACGGGAGGCAGCAGUGAGGAAUAUUGGUCAAUGGGCGCGAGCCUGAACCAGCCAAGUCGCGUGAGGGAGGACGGCCCUACGGGUUGUAAACCUCUUUUGCCGGGGAGCGACGGGCGUCACGUGUGGCGCCACUGAGAGUACCCGGAGAAACAGCAUCGGCUAACUCCGUGCCGGCAGCCGCGGUAAUACGGUGGAUGCGUGGGUUAUCCGGAUUUAUGGGGUUUAAGGGGUGCGUAGGCGGAUCGUUACGUCAGUGGUCAAAUUGAGGGUCUCAACCCCUUCCCGCCAUUGAAACUGGCGCUCUUGAGUGGAAGAGAAGUAUGCGGAAUGCGUGGUGUAGCGGUGAAAUGCAUAGAUAUCACGCAGAACCCCGAUGGCGAAGGCAGCAUGCCGGCUUCCGACUGACGCUGAAGCACGAAAGCGUGGGGAUCGAACAGGAUUAGAUACCCUUGUAGUC